AACGAACGCUGGCGGCGUGGAUAAGACAUGCAAGUCGAACGGGACAGACCGAGUAGCAAUAUUUGGAAUGUUCAGUGGCGAACGGGUGCGUAACACGUGGAUAACAUUCCGGAAAGCGGGGAAUAGCCCAGGGAAACUUGGAUUAAUACCGCAUGUGGCCGCAAGGCUAAAGACGGGGACCGAAAGGCCUGUCACUUUCCGAUUGGGCCGCGGCCUAUCGGCUAGUUGGCGGGGUAAUGGCCCACCGAGGCUACGACGGGUAGCUGGUCUUAGAGGACGACCAGCCACACUGGAACUGAGACACGGUCCAGACACCUACGGGUGGCAGCAGUCGAGAAUCUUUCACAAUGGGGGCAACCCUGAUGGAGCGACGCCGCGUGGAGGAUAAGGUCUUCGGAUUGUAAACUCCUGUCAUGCGAGAACAAGGUACUCAGGCUAAUAACCUGAUUGUUUGAUGGUACCGCAAGAGGAAGAGACGGCUAACUCUGUGCCAGCCGCCGCAGUAAUAC
rnacentral:rRNA from 1 species